rnacentral:sRNA from 1 species
GGCGAGCCAGAGCUGGACCUCACCAGCAAGCUGGUUCUAGUGAGCCCUACAUCAGAGCAGUAUGACAGCCUACUUCGGCAGAUGUGGGAGAGGAUGGACGAGGGAUGCGGAGAGACCAUAUAUGUCAUUGGGCAGGGAUCAGAUGGGACUGAGUAUGGGCUGAGUGAAGCUGACAUGGAGGCCUCCUACGCCACAGUGAAGAGCAUGGCGGAACAGAUAGAGGCCGAUGUCAUCCUUCUGCGGGAACGGCAAGAAGCUGGGGGCCGCGUGCGUGAUUACCUGGUCCGGAAACGAGUAGGAGACAAUGACUUCCUGGAGGUCAGGUGAGGAGGCCGCGGGACGUUUUGGGGUCACCAUUCUUCACAGAGGUUGGUGACUGAGCCUGUGGCACUUGGCAUGUCAGCUCCAUCCUUUCCCCUCCUGAGGCGUGGAAAGAGUGUCCAGGUGUCUGGAGACGUGGGCUCCUUGCUCUAAUU